rnacentral:rRNA from 1 species
UACAGAGGCCCCAAGCGUUAUCCGGAAUCACUGGGCGUAAAGGGUGUGUAGGUGGUUUUGUUAGUCGCUUGUUAAAUCUCCCGGCCUAACCGGGAAAAUGCAAGCGAAACGGCAAGACUAGAGGAUGCGAGGGGUCUGUGGAACUCAUGGAGUAGGGGUGAAAUCCGUUGAUAUCAUGGGGAACACCGAAAGCGAAGGCAGCAGACUGGCGCAUUCCUGACACUGAAACACGAAAGCGUAGGUAGCGAAUGGG